UACGAAGGGGGCUAGCGUUGCUCGGAAUUACUGGGCGUAAAGCGCACGUAGGCGGAUUGUUAAGUCGGGGGUGAAAUCCUGGAGCUCAACUCCAGAACUGCCUUCGAUACUGGCGAUCUCGAGUUCGGGAGAGGUGAGUGGAACUGCGAGUGUAGAGGUGAAAUUCGUAGAUAUUCGCAAGAACACCAGUGGCGAAGGCGGCUCACUGGCCCGAUACUGACGCUGAGGUGCGAAAGCGUGGGAGCAAACAGG
rnacentral:rRNA from 1 species